rnacentral:rRNA from 1 species
ACUCAAAGGAAUUGACGGGGACCCACACAAGCGGUGGAGCGUGGGGUUUAAUUCGAUGAUAAGCGGAGAACCUCACCCAGGCUUGACAUCUCAGAAACUCUCCAGAAAUGGAGUGGUGCCGCAAGGAAUCUGAUGACAGGUGAUGCACGGUCGUCGUCAGCUCGUGCCUUGAGGUGUACUGUUAAGUCAGCAAACGAGCGCAACCCUCAUCUUAUGUUGUAAUUUCAUAAGAGACUGCCGCCUCCAAGGCGGAGGAAGGUGGGGAUGACGUCAGAUCUGCGUGUCCCUUAUGCCUGGGGCUACACCCGCGCUACAAUGGCCGGUACAGAGGGCAGCGAACUCGCAAGAGUUAGCAAAUCCCACAAAACCGGUCUCAGUUCGGAUUGAAGUCUGAAACCCGACUUCAUGAAGUUGGAAUCGCUAGUAACCGUAAAUCAGCCACGUUACGGUGAAUAUGUUCCUGGGUCUUGUACACACCGCCCGU